GUGCAAAGGAUGGUGUGGCAGAACUGCUCGUGGGAACACUCACAUAGACAUGGACCAUCACGAUCUCAUGUCCCUUCAGAGCCAGCUCCUGCUCCACCGUCCUCACUCCCGUGAUCACACAUUCAUCCUCACAAUCCGAAUCGAUCAUCAUCCCAUCCCCUAUAUGCACAUCCUCCUGCUCUGACAGAGCAACUAUCCCUGCAAGACCAAAAUCAGCAACCGUAUCACUCGAUCUAGUCUCCGAUAUAACCCGGGAACACUCGGCCACAUCCCUUCUCACACACCUACCCAUGACUCUCUCACGAAGGUCAUAUCGCCUGGACGACAGACCCAAGGACCGUCCCUCCUCCUCCACAGACUCCCACCACGUGAUCUCUUUAGCGGGAUACUAUAAUACAAA
rnacentral:sRNA from 1 species